UAAGGUUUGCUUCGGCACAAGUUAAGUUGAAAAACUUAUGAUCAGUUACAAGCUGAUACUUGAAAGGUUAAGUUCUUUAUUCUUUAGCUAAAUAUGACUUUUUAAUUUUCUUAUUUUGUUUACUAUUUCAAUAUCUAUUUCCAAGGUUAAUACCUCUACCUCGUCUUUAGAUAAUUUCAUGAUAGGGUUAGUAGCUAAUUUUUAAUUUUAUUAAGUUGAAUGGUGGUGUUCCUUCAAAAGUCAUGUUGGGUUAUUUUACUUCUUUUGUUUGCUAAUUAGAAAUAGAAAAUUUAUAAACUCUAAUUUUUGAAAAAUGGCAUACGCUUGAAGGUUGGAAAUCGAAGAACAUAAGGUUUGCGUCGGCACAAGUUAAGUUGAAAAACUUAUGAUCAGUUAGAAGCUGAUACUUGAAAGGUUGGAGCUUGAAGAACAUGAGGUUUACGUCGGCACAAGUUAAGUUGAAGAACUGAUGAUUAGUUAGAAGCCGAUACUUGAAAAGUUGGAGCUCGAAGAACAUAAGGUUUGCGUCGGCACAAGUUAAGUUGAAGAACUGAUGAUUAGUUAGAAGCUGACACUUGAAAAGUUAUGUUCACUAUCUCAAUAUCUAUUUCUAAGGUUGGAGCUCGAAGAACAUAAGGUUUGCGUCGGCACAAGUUAAGUUGAAAAUCUUAUAAUCAGUUAGAAGCUGAUACUUAAAAGAUUGGAGCUCGAAGAACAUAAGAUUUGCCUCGGCACAUGUUAAGUUGAAGAACUGAUCAUCAGUUAGAAACCGAUACUUGAAAAGCUAAGUUGUCUAUUCUUGAGCUAAACAUAACUUUUUUUAUUUUCUUGUUUUGUUAACUUUCUCAUUUUCUAUUUCUAUGUUAGCACUUCUACCUCAUCUCUACCAAACAUUACGUUUGAAGUAACUCCACCAUGGAACUUAAUAAAAUUAAAGAUUAGCUACUAACCGUAUCAUGAAAUUAUUUAGAGUUGAGGUAGAGGUACGUACUAGGAAAUAGAAAUUGAGACAGUGAACAAAAUAUAGUUUGAUGAUUGUUAAUUAGAAAUAGAAAAUUUAUAAACUCUAAUUUGUAUAUUUGUGACUAGAUAACCCGGAGUCAUUAAGUGCGGCGGAUGGAGGUUAGCUCUAGAGCGUCUUACUGUGAGUAGUAUAUUAGACAUAUGUAUGUAUAUGCUUUUUCUCCUCUCUCCUUUGCAAUAUGCAUGCGUUUUAAUGCGAAUGAGAAUGACCAAACUUAGUGAUUAAGAUGAUAUGCCCGCAGGCAUUAUGUGAAAAAGUAGAUUUUAACUGCAUAACUAGAUUGAGUUAGAACGUCCUAGACGAUGGGGUAAUCAUCGGACAUAAGCGCAUAUGCUUGACACGUGAUAUUAGGCUUAGAGUGCUUUGUUAUUGUUAUUUUGAUCAGUAUUGCUAGGUGUUUAUUGAUGUUGAUGUGAUUGUCUGUGUUUGCAUCUUUAUUAUGAUCUCAAUCACCGUCAGAAAGAAAUGCCGCCACUAUCCAAAUAGACUGAUUGGGUUAGUAGCUAAUACUUAAUUUUGUUAAGUUGCAUGGGGGAGUUACUUCAUAGUUCUUGUUGGGUUAUUUUAGUUUUUUUGUCUGAAUUACUUUUUUUGUUUGAUGUUUGAAUUGCAUUGUUUCUAAUAUUGUCUGAUGAUUGUUUAAUUAGAAAUAUAAAUUUUAUUAAACUCUAAUUUAUUAAAAAUGGUAUGUGCUUGAAGAUUGGAGCUCGAAGAACAUAAGAUUUGCCUCGGCACAUGUUAAGUUGAAGAACUGAUCAUCAGUUAGAAGCCGAUACUUGAAAAGCUAAGUUGUCUAUUCUUGAGCUAAAUUUAACUUUUUUUUAUUUUCUAAUUUUGUUAACUUUCUCAAUUUCUGUUUCUAUUUUAGUACUUCAACCUCAUCUCUACCAAACAUUACUUUUGAAGUAACUCCACCAUGCAA